GGUCCAAAUUUGAAGUAGAGUAGUUUCAGUACGAUCAGUUGACCCUAUUAAACUAAUCUACUUUAAGUUUGUGCCU
rnacentral:pre_miRNA from 1 species